ACUCAAAUGAAUUGACGGGGGCUUGCACAAGUGGUGGAGCGUGUGGCUCAAUUCGUCGCUAAGCGAAGAACCUUACCCAGACUAGAAAUCCUACUGCACGUCUAGCGAAAGCUAGAAAGCCUUCGAGGGUGUAGGACAGGUGAUGCAUGGCUGUCGUCAGUUCGUGGUUUGAAUCGUUCCCUUCAGUGGGGUAACGAACGCAACCCUCGUUGCCUGUUAUAUUUGUCAGGCGAGACUGCCCCCUCACGGGGGAGGAAGGUGAGGAUGACGCCAAGUCAGCAUGUCCCUCUGAUGUCUGGGGCUGCACACGCGCUACAAUCGCCGUUACAAAGGGGCGCAAUAUCGUAAGAUGGAGCAAAUCCUUAAAAGCGGCGCCAGUUCGGAUUGAGGGCUGCAACUCGCCCUCAUGAAGCCGGAAUCACUAGUAAUCGUGGGUCAGCCACACCACGGUGAAUACGUUCUCAAGCCUUGUACACACCGCCCGU
rnacentral:rRNA from 1 species